rnacentral:tRNA from 1 species
CGGGCCAUAGCUCAGGUGGUUAGAGCGCCACGUUGACAUCGUGGAGGUCACAGGUUCGAGUCCCGUUGGCCCGA